UGUCGGGUAAGUUCCGACGUGCACGAAUGGCGUAACGACUGGAGAACUGUCUCGGGGAUUCGCCCGGUGAAAAUACACUUCCGGUGAAGAUGCCGGAUACCUGCAGAUAGACGAAAAGACCCUAGAAGCUUUACUACAGCUUGAUAUUGUCUCUAUGUGUUCUAUGCGUAGCAUAGGUGGGAGGAUUUGAGGGCGCGCUCUCGGGCGUGUCUGAUCCGUCAGUGAAAUACCACUCUUAGAAUGUGUAGAGACUAACCUAGCCGGCAAAAACGGCAGGAGACAGUAUCUGGUGGGUAGUUUUGGUGGGGCGCUAUCCUCCUAAAAAGUAACGGAGGAGUUUAUUAAGGUUCCCUAAGCGCGAAUGGAAACCGUGCUGAUAGUGCAAUGGCAUAAGGGAGCUUCACUGUGAGACGUACAUGUCGAACAGAUGCGAAAGCAGAACAUAGUGAACCUAAGAUUCGCGUUAGAUGCGAUCUGAGAUCAACGGAUAAAAGCUACUCUAGGGAUAACAGGCUAGUUCCGCCCAAGCGUCC
rnacentral:rRNA from 1 species